rnacentral:sRNA from 1 species
GUUUAAACCUGAUUGAAAUGGAAAGCCCACAGCGUAGCGAGGACUUGAAAUGUAAAGCAGGACUAACA